rnacentral:lncRNA from 1 species
AUGACAGGAGGGGUUUCCAUCGUCCCCUCACUGCUUCACAGACACAGCUCUGAAGGAGAACAUGCAAGCUCCUCCCAGGGUUCCUCUGCUGGCGUUGUUCCUCACAGCUGUGAGGUUUCCUCUACCUACACUCCCUUUUUCUCCCAGUCCUUCCACAGAGGGACACACAGAGUCUUCAUGAGGACAAACCUGAACAUCAAGAAGAUGAACGAUGAGGAUGAGCUGGUUUCCACCCUCAGCUCUGGUUCCUCUCAGCGUCCCUCAGCAGUCAGCAUCAUCAGCAGUUUCAGCCAGCACCACCAGCACCACCAGGACCUCCUCCUCGAACCACAACCCCCCAGUCCGCAGGUACAGCUCAGUACAGCUGAAAACUUCAGUGAUCAAAGGAGAAGUGGGAGGAGCUUCACAGGCAACAUACAGAGACACACGCCGUCUUUCAAAGCAAAGGGCAGGACCGCCUUCAGGGGCGUGUCUGAGACCACUUCCAGGGGCGGUGUCAGGGACAGGAAGUGUCCUCCUCAGCAGGAAGUGUCCGUCCGAAGCGUGCAGACCCUGAGGGAGGAACCCAGAGGAACCAAGGCAGAGCGCAGCAGGAACCCACCCCCCACAGGAACCGGAGCAGGCCGAGGAACCAUCAUGGGGACCCUGCGGCUGCAGAAGGCCCCACCUUCCCCCUACACUAAGGUGACGGCCCCCCGACGGCCGCAGCGCUGCAGCAGCGACAGCAGUUCGGUGCUGAGCGGUGAGCUUCCUCCCGCCAUGGGCCGCAGCGCCUUGUUCUACAGCAGCAGCGGCUACGGCAGCAUAAGGACAAGCCCCGCCCACACUCCACGAGCUCACAGGUCCCCCAGGAGGAGAGGGCAGGGUCAGUCACUCACAGACAUCACAUCACAGACCAUAAACAAACAUCACAUCAGUAGCAUGUGUCUGUGUCUGGUUCUCAGGUGUUCUCAAGGCGAGGUUGGCUCUAAAGGUCAAAGGUCAGAAAGUGGACUCACAGGGGACCUGAACCUUUUUGUCCAGCAGGGGGCACUGUGACGUCAUGAUGUGAGAGCCGCUGAUUGGACCAUGUGACUGACUGGUUGUCUGUUAGCUCCGCCCCUGACCUGCAGGAGGAGCUGCUGCAUCACUUAUAGAC